rnacentral:tRNA from 1 species
CAAGAUGUAGCUUAUAAACUACAUAAAGUUUAUUACUUACACUAAUAAGGAAAAAUUAAUUCUUCUUG